ACCAAGUUCCUAACUUGGGUUUGUGUCUUAGCUGCUACUGGUCACCUAGAAAGCUCAGUUGAUUCAGAAGGUCAGAAAUAUAAGCUUCCUUUUGGUCUGGAAUUCCUGACCUGUGUAAGAGGAGAUUUUAACAGAGUGGAAAUGGAACACAGCAAGAGGCAUGAGUGACAGACUGAGCAGUUGGAAUAUUGGAGAGAGGGGGCUUCUGGGAAGGAAACCACCAAGCAAGGGGUUCGGUUCUGAGCCUUGGACUGGAAACAACUUUUUCCUGAUCUCUGGAUUUGAAUCCCAUCAAAUCUCCUGAAGAUUUCCCAAUUGAACUCAAUGCCCUUAUUGUCUAUGAACUGAUCCUGCUCUCUGCCAUAUCAAGAUCCGAAUGGACUGAUUAGACAUUUCAGGGUUCAUUUAUAUUUUAAAAGAAAUUAAACUCACCAUGACGGGGAGAGAAUACAUCAUCCACAGAAUUUAGGCAAAGCACAGGAAUUCCUACUGACUUCAACCUUCGAUUUGGACUAGCAUCAGUGUAAUAAUCAUCAAUAGAACGGUAUCCAAACAUAACUGAAGUAAAUCGUUUAUCAAACUCUCUGAUGGAUUUUGCCUGAAGAAACAAAAAUCAAAUAAAUGACACCUAAUUUUAAAAAUCAAAACAUUAAAUAAAAUUGACAUAAGAUUUCUCAUACCUUCA